rnacentral:rRNA from 1 species
UACGUAGGUGGCAAGCGUUGUCCGGAUUUAUUGGGUUUAAAGGGUGCGUAGGCGGUCUAUUAAGUCAGUGCUGAAAUACUCCAGCUUAACUGGAGGGGUGGCAUUGAUACUGAUGGACUUGAGUACAGAUGAGGUAGGCGGAAUUGACGGUGUAGCGGUGAAAUGUGUAGAGAUCGGGAGGAACACCGGUGGCGAAGGCGGGUCUCUGGGCAAUUCCUGACGCUGAGGCGCGAAAGCGUGGGGAGCAAACGGG